GGCCCCAAAUCCUUUCAUUUGAAAUACCCUCCACCAUGGAAAUACAAUUUGGCAGUGAGAUUCGAUGACUUCUGCGAAUUCUUGCAGUGGAUGAACACCUCUAGAUUUUUGACCAACACACAUACAUCUAGCCAUUGUUAACCUCAAACGUGAGAUCUCCAAUUUACCCAAAGAUAGAAUGCAACCGCCACUUGAACGUCCAACAGAAAUCAGAGUUUUGGUGCCAACUGAAGGUUAUUUACCUACUAAAGAAGUGAUUACGGUGUCAUAGGUCCGUUUUACCCCAGUAUAGGGGACGAUCACCACUGCGACUCCACACAUCCAAUAGAAAUCAGGUUGUUGGUGUCAACCGAAGGGAAAUUCACCUACUUGAGAAGUAAUUACGGUGUCUUGGGAGUGACAGAGAAAGGAAAAGAACUAAUGGACCUAUCAGAUGAUGAAGUUUUUAGAAUCUAAUAAUGAGAACAAUAUGGACAAUAUAAUGACGUGGAAGAUGACAUCUUUGGAGGAAAUAGUGCGAUUGUGCCUGAGGUGGGUAUAAAAUUCAAAGAUGAAAAAGAGCUGUUUGAAUUUUACAAGAGGUACGCAUAUAAGGUAGGCUUUUCGGUUAGGAGAAGGAAUUCUGGAAAUGGAGGAUGGAGUAUUGAGAUACAUUAUGUUGACAUGUUGCCGUGAGGGAUGAAGAAGCAGUGAUACAAGCUCUUCUUUGAAACUGCAACCAACAAUUCAAAUAGGUUGCAAAGCAAGUUUGAUUGCUUCUUCAAAUAUUCGUGGAAUAUGAAAAAUUUGUAUUGUCUAUCUCAAACACAAUCAUAAAACAAGUUCUUCAAAGUCCAGGUUAUAUUGAUGCAAUUGAGUGCAAAUGUUAAACGCAAGCUUGAAGUGAAUGAUGUGGCCGAAAUUUCUUUGUAUAAGAGCUAUAAUUCUACAGUUGUUGAAGCGGGUGGAUACGAGAAUAUGACUUGCGUGGAAAGGGAUUUGAGCAAGUGAGGUGAUUGAGACUUGGUCAGGGAAAUGUCGCGGCAAUACAAUCUUACUUUUCACAAAUGCAAGAAUGAUGCUUGGGAUUUUUCUUUUGUAUGGACUUAGAUGAAGAGUCAUGACUUAAGAAUUUUUUUUUGGCAAAUAAUAGGUGUAGACAAGCAUAUAAAGAGUUUGGAAAUGCAGUGACGUUUGAUACGACUUAUCUCACUAAUAAAUAUGACAUGCCUUUUACAUCUUUUGUCGGAGUAAAUCAUUACGGACAGUCAACACUUCUUAGUUUUGGCUUGUUAUCAAAUGAUAAAGCAUAUACACUUGUCAGCCAGAACAUGGAUGCAGUGCAAGCAUGGUCAAGCUCCCAAUGAAAUUAUUACCGAUCAAGACAAGGCUAUGCAAAAUGCAAUUCAGAUAAUCUUUCCAUAUACGAGGUAUAGAUGGUGUCUUUGUCACUUAUUGAAGAAGUUGCCUAAAAAAUUUGGGUACCAUGUCGACAAGAGCUCAAUUUUUCAUGUAUACACGAAUUAGUGUAUGAUACACAACUUGUCGAAGAAUUUGAAGGUUGGAGAAUUAUGCUUGAUACAUAUAACUUAUAUGAUAAUGAAUGGCUGUCGAGGUCGUAUAAGACUAGGGGUCCUUGGGUGCCGUGUUUUUUGAAAAUCACUUUUUGGGUAGAGAUGCUAACAACUCAACGAAGUGAGAGUAUGAAUACAUUCUUCGAUGGGUAUGUGCACUCUAAGACAUCAUUGAAGUAAUUCGUUGAAUAGUAUGAACGAACAUUACGAAAUAAAGUUGAAAAGGAAUUCCAAACAGAUUUUAAGUCUUACUUACAGAUGGUGCCUUGUGCAACAAAAUAUGAAAUAGAAAAGUAAUUUCAAGCAGUUUAUACUAUUUCGAAGUUUCAAUAAUUUCAGGAUGAGAUAACUGGGAAGGUGUAUUGUGAUAUGAUAUCUAAUUUGGAUAAUUGUUCAGAGAAGACCUAUGAGGUUGAAAAUGAUGUCAUUCACGAAAAAAGGUUAGGAAGAAAACGUUUCGUGCAGAGGGUUGUAUUAUUAUUUGUAAUUGUCACCUAUUCGAGUUUUGUGGAAUUUUAUGCAGACAUGCCAUAUUAGUGUUGAUGCGUAAUGACAUCACAUCAUUACCAAUAUAUAUCGAGGAGAUGGAGAAUGGAUGUUAGUAGAGCCCACACGAGGGUUGCUGUGAAUUAUGAUAGUUUGGUUAGCACUUCUAGCCAGCUGAGGUACGAUAGAAUGUGUGAAGUAUUUUCGUCAUUGGUAAACAUUGCCGCAGAUGAUGAAGAGUGAACUCGUGCGAUAAUAGAUUGGGUUCGAUUGCAAUCUAAAGACAUAAUGUCUAUAAAGUCGAGUUAUGGAAGCAAUACCAUUUCCCAGCCUAGUUUGCAUUUAGGCUCCCAAUCUAGAUCAUCACAAGACACAGACAAUGGGAGAAUACAAGAUCCUCAAAGCUUGAAAAAGAAGGGUACGCCAAAGAAACUGCGUAAUAAAAGCCCGUUGGAGUGCAGCUCGAAGAAAUCAAAGCUAGCAAUGUCUUCAAGCAAAGGACAGAGAUUGAAAGUGAUGAAAAAAGGCUCGGACAGGAUGCAUCUAUUGGCCAGACCAACCAAUAAGCACAAAACUUGAUGCAAAUAAUAUUUGGUGACGACGAAAGUCAUGCACUAACAUAACAACUUUCAACUUCAAAUGUCUUUGUCAAUCACCAAGGUAAUGCAAUGCCAUACUACUAUCUCAAUUUUCGAUACAACAAUGGAACACAAUGUGGAGUCAUCAAGGAGAUACUUAGAACAUCUGCAAUGGGCUUUUUUCUAUCGAAUUUCACGGUCCAUUGCCUCCUCCGAGUGCUAUAGCAAGUUGGAUGUCAAGUGUCACCAAUUCCAUUCCCUAGGCUGCUAUUGCUAGAGGUCCAUCGAGUGUUGUUUAGAUACCUGGCUCCGGAAUGGCCUAUCAAGCUGCUGAAAGUGGUAUUGGAAUGGUAUCCCAAAAUGCUUGAUCAUCAAGGAGGGCAGAAUUUAAUCCUUCCAAUGCAUCUUAACAAGCGGGGUAUGAAAAAAAAUGUGGGAGGAUAUAGUAAAAACGCAUGGUGCGAUGGCCGGAUGGACAAUGCUUGUCCUGUGUUCCUUUGACCGAUGUAUAACAAUUUUUUCUAUAACAUUCAGCACUAAGCAUUUUUGUAGUUCAUUUGGAAGACGUGUUGUUAUCUUUUAUGUUACAGAAUUGAUUCAUGUGGUUUGAUUAUUUGUGUGACCCAUAUGUCCCAAAGAAAAUCAAUUUGAUAACUUGUAGCGGGCUAGUUAAAAAUGCUUCAAGUUUCUGUUGUAAUUGAGUGUGUAUAGUUGCAAGGGGAAGCAUUUAU